AUUCCCUCUUUCUUCGUGCCUAAUCCCUGCCAGUCGCGCGAACAGACGAGGAGCUUGCUCCUCUGACGUUAGCGGCGGCCGGGUGAGUAACACGUUGAUAACCUACCUAUAAGACUGGGAUAACUUCGGGAAACCGGAGCUAAUCCCGGAUAAUAUAUUGAACCGCCUGGUUCAAUAGUGAAAGACGGUUUUGCUGUCACUUAUAGAUGGAUCCGCGCCGCAUUAGCUAGUUGGUAAGGUAACGGCUUACCAAGGCAACGAUGCGUAGCCGACCUGAGAGGGUGAUCGGCCACACUGGAACUGAGACACGGUCCAGACUCCUACGGGAGGCAGCAGUAGGGAAUCUUCCGCAAUGGGCGAAAGCCUGACGGAGCAACGCCGCGUGAGUGAUGAAGGUCUUCGGAUCGUAAAACUCUGUUAUUAGGGAAGAACAAAUGUGUAAGUAACUAUGCACGUCUUGACGGUACCUAAUCAGAAAGCCACGGCUAACUACGUG
rnacentral:rRNA from 1 species